rnacentral:lncRNA from 1 species
GGGCGACAGAGGGAGACUCUGUCUAAAAAGAAAGUGAAGGGACUGUGUGAGUCCAGAGGAAAAGGGAAUAACCCCCUAGCCUGGGAAGGUGGAGAGGGCUUCCUGGAGGUGGUGAUAUUCCAGAUGAGUCUUGAAGGGGAAAGCCAAUUUUAGUUGUUGUAAAAAUGUAGAACUGUUUUUAAAAAAAAGUAGAAGUGUUACUUUUAUGGUCUGUCAACAAGGCUGUCCUGCCGCUUCUCCCAGACAUUGGCACCAUGCCUGCCCACCAUGCUAUGGCUGGAUAGGGAGAGUCCUUGCUCAGCUCUUCCCGCCCCUAUGCCUUGGCUUAUGGAUUUCUGUUUGCUUUCAUCAUUUUCUCCUUCAACUUGAGAACUCCUAUUCAACCUCUGAAACCCAGCUCAAAUGCCACCUCCUCUGACGGAGCACGGAGUCUCUGUCGCCCAGGCUGGAGUGGAGUGGUGCUAUCUCGGCUCACUACAACCUCCGCCUCCCAGGUUCAAGCGAUUCUCCUGCCUCAGCCACCUGAGUAGCUGGAAUUACAGGCGCCCACCACCACGCCCGGCUAAUUUUUGUUGGUCAGGUUGGUCUCAAACUUCUGACCUCAAAUGAUUCACCCACCUUGGACUCCCAAAGUGCUGGGAUUACAGGCAUGGGCUACCGUGCCCGGCCUCUGUGAUGCUUCUGCAUGUCUAAAAUAACAAGAGAGAGCCACCGCGCCCGGCCAGCAAGUCAGCGCUCACCAUCUCCAACCCCAUUUUACAGAAGAGAAAACUGAGGCUUGGGGAGGGCUGCAAGGCAGGAGCCCUCGGCGCCCGGCCAAAGUCAGAAAUUUGUUGUUGCCAUCCGAGGGGAAAACGUGCACGGGCUCUGCAAAUUGUAACCGCCCGGGGUGGGAGAGUCCGUGCCUGGGGGCGUGGUGAGCCAGGGCCGGUGCUGGGGCGCAGAGCAGGGCGGCUCAGAUUCCGGGAGGGGCGGGGAGAUCGGGUUGCUGGG